AUGACGACCAAUGUUGUUCUUGAUCUGUCUUCAGGUCACGCAGAGUCGGUACAUGCAGAGAAAAUUAAAGCUAAGUGGGCUGCGCCACCUAAAGGAAUGUUCAAAAUGAAUGUGGACGCAAGCUUCAUAUCCUGUACCAAUGAGGGUUGUAUAGGCCUGAUACCGCGGAACCAUGAAGGAGUUCUGAUGAGGGGUCAAGCAAUCUGGUGGUAUGGGCAAUCUGCCAAUGCUUUGAUUAUAGAGGCAUUUGCUAUUCUAGAUGGUAUCAAAUUACUUUGCGGCAUAGGUCUUUCCAAGAUCAUCAUUGAGACGAAUGCAAAGGAAGUGUCAAUUUAUGAAGGAACCGUACUGAAGGGGUGCAACUUUGUGCUAAGCAAGCCUAUGAGAAUAGAAGAAGGUGCUUAUGGAUCAAUCAUACAUAUGAUAGUGGAGGUGGGCCUUUUCUCGUGCAUGUUGUGUGAUGAUGUGGCAUUCUUGCAUGUUGAGAGAUAUAGAGAAAAAGGAGGAGGGAUGGGGACAAAUGGCGCUAGGGUGGCCCCACCGCAGCCGUCGGCUGACCCCAGGGGCCACUGCCGGGUGCGCCGAGGGAAGGUGCGUGAUUCCGGCGAUCAAGCCGGCGGCAGUGGCCUCAUAGAAAGCUGCAGCGACGACGCCGCGACUGAUCAAGACGACGUACCGCCGGUUCUGUGGCCUGCUGGUAGAUUUGAUGCCAGGUCGGGGGCUUGGAGCUCCCACUUGAAAGGCACUCAGGCAGUCAGGCUAGCUCUGAUCGAUAUUAGGCAUGCGCUGUUGAUCAUGGGCGAUGGCAACGACGAGGCCUCACGAGGAUCGUCACCGCGAGGGAUUUGA
rnacentral:rRNA from 1 species